rnacentral:tRNA from 1 species
GGGCCCUUAGCUCAGCUUGGUUAGAGCAGCGGACUCAUAAUCCGUAGGUCCUGGGUUCAAAUCCCAGAGGGCCCA